rnacentral:rRNA from 1 species
UACAGAGGUCUCAAGCGUUGUUCGGAUUCAUUGGGCGUAAAGGGUGCGUAGGUGGCAUGGUAAGUCGGAUGUGAAAUCCCGGGGCUCAACCCCGAAACUGCAUUCGAUACUGCCGUGCUUGAGGACUGGAGAGGAGACUGGAAUUUACGGUGUAGCGGUGAAAUGCGUAGAUAUCGUAAGGAAGACCAGUGGCGAAGGCGGGUCUCUGGACAGUUCCUGACGCUGAGGCACGAAGGUCAGGGGAGCAAACGGG